CUCGCCAACGGAUAUCUCGGCUCUCGCAUCGAUGAAGAACGUAGCGAAAUGCGAUACUUGGUGUGAAUUGCAGAAUCCCGUGAACCAUCGAGUCUUUGAACGCAAGUUGCGCCCGAAGCCAUUAGGCUGAGGGCACGUCUGCCUGGGCGCCACGC
rnacentral:rRNA from 1 species